UCUGACACAAGUGAACAAUGUUGCCUUCAGCUUCACUUGAGGCAGAUAGAUGCAUUGAGUGGACUUUUGUGUCAAAAAGAAUGGAUAAGAAUCUAGUUUUCCCAUAAUACUCCACAAGUCGACUAUCAGCCAGGAAAUGGGACCAUGAGUACUGGCACGUGUAAAAACCAUGGAAAAAAAAUUUUUAAUAGAAUUCUGAUUCGAUUUUUUAAAAGAGGAGCACGGAUUUAAUCAUUAUAUUAUCGAUCAGGUAGCUAUUUUAGUAAACUUGUUUAUUAAGCAGCGAGACUAUUAAGCCAUACGUCCAUCAAUAAGAGUAAACGUACACAAGUCCACACACACACACACACACUACAUGAGCAUUGCAACAAAAUAAUCCGGUUGGUCUUUCGUAACUGAAACGUAGUUCUACUUUUUCCCUCAGUCUACUCGAGCUCAAACAUUUGAUCGCGAGGGCCGAUAACGAAUAGCCGUGUUGGAACGCGGAAUGCCUAUGCCUCAGGGAUGGACCACGUCUACUAGCCAAUCAGCUUCGUUUUCCAUUCCGCCUGGAAUCGUACUUUUUGAUAUCUACAAAAAUUCUAUCGUUAAUAUUAUUACAUUUACUAAUACACAGUAUGCAUUUUGUGUUAUUUUCGUUAAAAAAAAUACGUUUAUUUUAAGUUUUUUGUUUUGUUAUAUACCGCAAAUAUUAAAAUAAUUGUUGCUGCU
rnacentral:lncRNA from 1 species